rnacentral:hammerhead_ribozyme from 1 species
AUCCAGCUGACGAGUCCUAAAUAGGAAUUAACGCGAGUUCUGGAU